ensembl:lncRNA
UACUACGGCUUUAUUGUUAGCAAGUCCCUAACAAUAACAUUCAACCACAAAUCAUGAUAAUAAUCAUACACUUAGUUUCAUACACUAAAUUCAAUGUAUACUGUAAAAUCUACUUGUCAGUUUGUACCGUUGCGCAAAAUCUCCUGAAAGUCUCUGAUUGAAAAAUGUGUUAGAUUCAACUAAUCCCGAUUAAACUUUCUCACUUUAGGUUUGUUACUCUUGGUUUAGGUAUGUUAUGAUUGGUUUAGGCAUGUUACGCUUAAUUUAGGUAUGUUAUACUUGGUUUAGGUAUGUUAUACAUGGUUUAGGUCUGUCAUACUUGGUUUAGGUAUGUUAUACUUGGUUUAGGUAUGUUAUACUUGGUUUAGGUACGUCAUACUUGGUUUAGGUAUGUUAUACUUGGUUUAGGUAUGUUAUACUUGGUUUAGGUCUGUCAUACAUGGUUUAGGUAUGUUAUACUAAAUCCAGUAGAUGUCACUGUGUCUCUGAAACAUCACUUUUCAAACGUGCCUAUUAGUUCAAGAAUGACAGUGUUUUGAGAACGUUUCCUUCUUACUGAGGCAAACCCAAAGCAAGGAUUACAUGUGGCAACAUCUGCAUCACACAUACAGGAGAGCCUUUGGAUUGCGGGAGGCAGAGAAUGUGGGAGAUGUCAGCGCUCCAAACUGUGUAUCAAAUUUUAAAUUACUUAUAUUUUUCUGUGAUUUUACUUGUUUUAUGGUUAUGGUUUGUUUUGCCCUAUAUUUCUUUUGUAUGUUUUUGGGGCUUUUAGUUAAAUUGAUUUCUUUUGUUGUGUUACGCUGUGACGGUGCUUUUAAAGGUGCUACAUAAAUAAAGUUGAUUAUUUAUUAUCGUCAUUAAGUGCUGCUGCAUGCAGGACUGUCUGUCGUCUGAAAUGGAUGGUGGUCACUGAGGGGGCUUGUUUUGGUUACAACUGGCCCCUUAGACCCACUAACUCAUCUAAAAUGUGACACAAAUCACCCCAAAAAUGCAAAGGGGUCCAACAAACAGACCCCGACGUGGCUCAGAGCGGAAGGGACGCGCUGCGUUGUGCACAGGGAUUCAAACACCGACGCCAAGGCGCCGUCCCGUUCCUCCGGGCCCGAGGCGCUCCACUGAACAGGGAACGCUGGAUCUCCCAGCAUGCAACAGGACGAUACGGGCUGAGCGGAGCUCGACUUGAAGGCACAGACAGGGAGAAUGCAUUGUGGACCACAAUGCGAUGCCUGCCGUCAUCCGACAAACAUGCCGUCUCCUAUUGUGUCAGGAGCCCCCGCGGGCCGCUGUGUAAACAUCCCCUCUGGACCCCAUCAGGACUAUAUUCAGACCCCGAGCAGGAAGUGACUUCAACAUCCACCGCAGCCUUUCCUUUCUCAGGUGGGGAACCAAGAAGGGGCAGGGGGGGGGGGGCUCCUUGAAUUCACAUUUAUUUUGUCCAAAAUCUUUUAUGCAGGCGUGACCUUUGACACCAUCGUGAGAACA